UACAGAGGUCCCAAGCGUUGUUCGGAUUCACUGGGCGUAAAGGGUGCGCAGGUGGUCGGGUAAGUCUGAUGUGAAAUCCCGCAGCUUAACUGCGGAAUGGCAUUGGAUACUAUUCGGCUAGAGGGUUGGAGGGGGGACUGGAAUUCUCGGUGUAGCAGUGAAAUGCGUAGAUAUCGAGAGGAACACCAGUGGCGAAGGCGAGUCCCUGGACAACUCCUGACGCUGAGGCACGAAAGCGUGGGGAGCAAACAGG
rnacentral:rRNA from 1 species